rnacentral:lncRNA from 1 species
CCUGACCUUUGGCAGCUGACUGGACUGCAGCCACAACUUCACCGGGGAACUCAGAAGAGGGGACUCCCAUCCAGAAAAGCCCAUCCUGCCACAGGAACUACAGACUCUAAGCUUGAGGACCUAACAACCUGAGGUUGGAGACUAGAGGUCAAGACAAGGAAUUCGGGUGAGGCCAUGCCCAGGCUGUUUCCCUGGUGCCUCGAGGCACAAUUGAUGAGUAGUCCUUAUCUCUGGGAGAAGUGCCCAGAGCUCAGCGGUCCAAGUCCACUGCCCAGCUAAGGAGGAGGCUGAGCCGUGGUUGGUACCAGGUAGAGAACAGACUAAGCCUACAGUAAAUAUGGAGGGCUGGGAGGUUUCUACUGGCCUGAGCUUCAGAGUAGUUUGUAGGCUUAGUGGGGGUUAGGGGUUGGGGCUCUCUGAUCGUUGCCUAGCAAGCUGACGAUGCAGUUGCUGAUAGCCGGACAUUAAGUUCUCACUGUUCAGCCCUGACUGACACUCCUGUCCACACCCACCCAUUUAUCUGUCUCCAGACCUAGCUCUGGGCAAGGAUCAGUCAGGGGUAUUUCCAUCUCCCUGGCCACUGCUGGGGUAGGGAGUCAGAACUCUCAGAUGGGAUUAGUGUUGCACCAUGGGUCAGGGACUACCCACAGUUGCAAACGCAGCCCCUCUGGAACACUACCUUCCUCCUAGGGACCCUAACCUGAGGGUACAGCUCUGUCCCAAACUGGAGCUCCACAAAUGCCCAGCUCUACAAAGACAUUCUGAAGCUCUUCACUACCAGCUGGGGGCUCCAGAGCAGGGGUGAACACAAGCCCUACAAGGAUAGACUUCCAUCUUCUAGCCUAUCAUUACCUAAGACCCACCUAGAGGCCUGGAUUGGCAUCCCUGAGUGGUUUCUGGACUUAAGGCUGACUUUGCUCCCCCAUCCACACCCCCAGGCCAUUUCUUGUAAUCUUUCAGUCUUUCUGU